UACGGGGGGAGCAAGCGUUGUUCGGAUUUACUGGGCGUAAAGGGCGCGUAGGCGGCCAGCGCAAGUCGGUUGUGAAAUCUCCGGGCUUAACUCGGAAAGGUCAACUGAUACUGCGCGGCUAGAGUGCAGAAGGGGCAACUGGAAUUCUCGGUGUAGCGGUGAAAUGCGUAGAUAUCGAGAGGAACACCUGCGGCGAAGGCGGGUUGCUGGGCUGACACUGACGCUGAGUGCGCGAAAGCCAGGGGAGCGAACGGG
rnacentral:rRNA from 1 species